rnacentral:rRNA from 1 species
UACGUAGGGAGCAAGCGUUGUCCGGAAUCAUUGGGCGUAAAGCGCGCGUAGGUGGCCCCAUAAGUCCGCUGUGAAAGUCAAAGGCUCAACCUUUGAAAGCCGGUGGAUACUGUGGGACUAGAGUACGGAAGAGGCGAGUGGAAUUCCUGGUGUAGCGGUGGAAUGCGCAGAUAUCAGGAGGAACACCUGUGGCGAAAGCGGCUCACUGGACCACAACUGACGCUGAGGCGCGAAAGCUAGGGGAGCAAACAGG